rnacentral:lncRNA from 1 species
AUCUGGCACAGCUUUGCUCCCUUAACUCCUGGAUCUUUGUUUUGGUGGCGACCAGGGAGAGCAGGGAGCGCUGUGCUCGCAUUUCCCUCUGGCUUUUACACACACACACGCGCACACACACACACACACACAAACCCCCCUUUCCAACUUUCUGCUUUUUGCGCUUCCCUUCCAGUUUUUUUUCACUUCUCAGACCUACUGGCAGCAUUUGCCGAGAUCUAGAUCCCCGCCGUGGGCGUUGGGUGCUGGUGCAACAUGUCAAUUCAUCAGCCUGUUGACUACAGUACAGUAUGAUUUCACUAAUGACUGGGAUGCAUACUGCAGAUUACCACAUUUUGCAAAUUAGUGAGUAAUCAAACAAACACCAUAAAAAUCAAGGAUACUGCAUAAUGAAAUAUACUUUAUUCAUUUAUUUUUACAACCAUAUAUGAGUUUUAAUUAUUUGUGUUAAUAAUUCAUUGGGUGCUAGCACAUGGAGCUAUGGAAUAUGUUUUUUUUUAAAAUAUUAUGUUUUACUAACCAAAGCCCCUGUUGUAGCACUCAGUCCUUUCUAGGAAGAUGGGUGAGCGUUUCUUCCUUGAGUGGGAGACCUCAUUUCACAGGUAAUCCCUAAGAAGGUCCUACAGUCCUUGGGGCCAGCCUGAUCCAGCCUGGUGGAGACACUGGGGAGGACUGGCUGUCACCUUGGGAAGGC